CUUUCAGCAGCGAGAGGCCUGCUUAACAUAUGACUCCGGCUGCAUUACUGCGUGGCGUCCCAGCACCCAUUCGAACAGUUCAGCAAUUUUAAACAAGCUCCACGGACAGGGACUAUUAAAUGGAAGGCAAGGAGCACGCCGGGAGAGCACGUUAAUUACGGGGCAACACCUUCGUCUGCAUUACCUAAAUGACCUCAGGGAGCCGACCAAGCUUGCUAAUAUUCUCAUUACUACACUUGAAAAUCCUCUGUAUCUGACUCACACAGCUUCUGUAAAUCAGUUUAGAGGAGGCAACCUCAACACAUUCCUCUUCUGGACUACUUAUCUAGUUACUACGAGGGAUAAUAAGGCUCCUUGAAGGAUAAUGCAAAAUAAUAUAGUUGGGUUGUCCAACACCAAGUUUCAACAGCUCGAAUACUUAUCUCCUCAGUCUUCUUUUAAUUCAAGCACGAGAGAAAAUGCUUCUGCAAGAAGGAAUUAAUGAAGAGAACUGCAAAAGAAUGUGUGACGGCCUCUUCUGACACGGCACAAACUUUCCACCCAUGUCACGACAAAGGGGAGAAGAAAAUGCAUUGUUGAAUUACUGAUACGUAAAUACUUAAAAGAGAAAACAAUUGUAUAAUUAUCUGUAUUUCGUGAUUCCCAACAAUAUGAUCUCAUAACAGAUGUAACAAGAAGUGUAACAGGGAAAAGUAUUUCAGGAAAAAUAAUGACAAGAAUUCCAACAGGAGACAAGCUUAAUUGUAUUGAUUCAAAAGAUGCAUGUUCAUAGGAACCAUGUUGAAGGAAUAAUGUUAUCUCAAAUCUACAGUUUCUAUUAAAAUGAAAUUGUCCGGCAUGAAAGAGGCAAUUAAGAUUAGUGUCUGCAGAACUAGAGAUACUAAACUAACUAAAUAAUUAUCUGGGCCCAAUUAUCUUAUACUUUAAGUAGCAAAAUACCAGUGUGGAGAAAGUAUAAGGCAUGAGGUUCGCAGGUUUAUUUACUGACUGGUGUAUCUAUUAGGACCAAGAACAAGUGGAGCUGUCAGGACAUAAUGAAGGUAAAUGAUUAGUUAGCACCAAGCCUGAACUCUUCUUCAAUGCAAUAAGAGUUAAUUAAAGUUUACCACCAAACAUCAACCAAAGCAGGAUGUUGAUCAGGUUUCAGCAUUAAGUGCAAACAGACAAUAGUUGGCAGCAAUUAGUGCAGCUAUCAAAUGACAUGCAAUGAUAAUUAUACAUUUAAAACAGCUAAAGAGCUGGGGGAAAAACUAAUCACUUCUUUGACGACAAAUACUCAAAGGGCAGGAAACAGGUAUCAGAUUAUUUCACUUUAACACUGUAAAUCAAUUGAAUUAAACAAGAAAAGGUUGUAUGGGUGCAUUAUCUGAAAGAGAACAGUUCACUGGAUUCAAAAUGAAAUAAAUCUGCUAGUAUUGGUCUAUCAAAGAUAAGAACUUUUGUAGCUAAAGAAAAUAAAUUACUUUUCAAUUAAA